CAGCAGCCGCGGUAAUACCAGCAGUUCAAGUCGUAUCCCUUUUUAUUGGGUCUAAAACAUCCGUAGCUUGACGUUUAAGUCUCUUGUGAAAUCUCACGUCUCAAGCGUGGUGAAGUGCAGGAGAUACUGGGCGACUAGAGAUCGGUAGACGUAAGGAGUACGCCGGAGGUAGUGGUAAAAUACGUUAAUCUUCGGUGGACUAACAAUGAGCGAAGGCACCUUACGAGGACGAAUCUGACAGUGAGGGAUGAAGGCCAGGGGCGCAAAACGGAUUAGAUACCCGUGUAGUCCUGGCAGUAAACACUGCUCACUAAACAUCGGGCCCUCUUCGGGAGGAUUCGGUGCUGAAGCGAAGGCGAAGAGUGAGCUACCUGGGAAGUAUAGUCGCAAGAUCGAAACUUAAAGGAAUUGGCGGGGAGACAUACAACGAGUGACGCGUGCGGUUCAAUCAGAUUUUACACCGUGAACCUCACCAGGAGCGACAGCAGGAUGAAGGUCAGUCUAAAGGGCUUACCUGACACGCUGAGCGGAGAUACAAAGCCGACGUCAGCCUGUGCUGUGAAGUGACCUGUUAAAUCAGGUAACAGGCGAGACCCGUGUCAUUAAUUACUACAGAAAUGGGUACAUUAAUGAGAUUGCCUUGGUAACAAGGAUGAAAGUGCGGGCUACGUUAGGUGGCUUGUCCCUAAUCCCCUGGGCUACACGCGCGCGGCAAUGGUAUGUUCAAAUGGAUGCGACUCCGAGAGGAGAAGCUAAUCCCCUAACGCAUAUCUCAGUCCAGAUUGCGGGUUGCAACCCACCCGCAUAACGUUGGAAUUCGUAGUAAUCGGGUAUUAGCACUGCCCGGUGAAUAAGUCCCUGCCCCUUGCACAC
rnacentral:rRNA from 1 species